rnacentral:misc_RNA from 1 species
UUCUAGCCCCGGGAGCGCCGGCAUCCCCCGAUUUUCGGGGAUAUAGGCAAUCACGGGAAGGGGG